UGAAGCCGUAGCCCGACUCGGACUUGACGAUGCGCACGACCCGCGGGCCGCCGCCUCCCCCGCCGCCGUUCCCGGCGCAGUGGAGCCCAGACCCCCCGCCGCCGCCUCCAUUCCGCUUUUUGCUGCUCUGAAGUCUCCUCGUCCAAGCCGGAGCUGAAGUCUCCCUCCAGUGUCCCUGAAGACUCCAGCUACAUCUGACAUUUCCCUUUUCUAAAUUCCUGAGGCAAAUACAGUUCCAGGUGACCCCUAAUGAGUCAUGCUCUUGUGUAACUCCCUCCCUUGAAGUCAGACUGGUCCUGAUGGCUUAGUGGAAGGUUGAGAACCGUCUCGGGAGAGCCACAUAUGUGAAGCUUCAGGGGACUUCAGGACCUGAGUGACUCUUGGGGACAGCAAAAAAAGCUGGCUCACUUCAGAAUAUCUAUGCCAAGAGCCUUUGGGACAGGCAGGCAGAGAGGAAGUCUCCAAGCCACAAAGAAGCCCAGGCACAAAGCCUGAGUGGGUGUUUGCAGCUCUCGAAAAGUCUGUUUACUGACAACAUCCCUGGCUGUCCUGGAACCCACUCUGUACACCAGGCUGGCCUCGAAGUCACAGAGAUCCACCUACCCCUGCUUCCCGAGUGCUGGGAUUACAGACAUACACCACCACUACGCAGCAUAUAUGAGAUCUUUUUUGUUGCUGUUUUGAGACAGGGUAUCGUAUAACCCAGCUGUCUUCCAAUGUGCUAUGUAGUUGGGGAUGUCCUUGAAUUCUGAAUCCCCCUGCCUCCACCUCUACUGCCUCCCAAGCACUAGAUUACAGGCAUGUCCCAUCUUGUCCAGCUAUAAAUGAGAUCUUAAAAUCAGCUUUCAUUGUAUCAAAAUGUUUGCAGCCUCUAGAAUGUUCCCAGAGGUCUGCCUCUGAUGACACACGUAACCAAGCAAAACCAGCACAGGGAGACGCAUGCAGUUUUUAAAUAAAACUUACUUCCCUAUAAUCCAACUUCUUUUUAGGCCUGGCCUUUCUUCUUCUGGUGCUGGACCUAAUUUGUAAAAAUCCCUCAUUUCACCCUAAUUCAGCUGUUGCCCUUUGCUAAAAAAUAAAAAAAUAAAAAUAAAUUAAUUUGGUAUUUACAUCAUGAGAACUCCUGAGGCCUCUGCUUUGUCCCAUGGGGCUCGUAGUGGCCACCUGCCCAGGUGCUCGAGGACAUGCUGCCCUCUACUGGUUUCAACCUGGAGGUGCAGAGUGCCUCCACUUGGCUCACCAAACUCUUCAAUGAGUUGAAAGGGACUUCAGUCUAACCCUCUCCCCCCACCACCAUUUUUUUUUUAAUAGUAGAGAAUCUGAAGCUCAGAGAGGUUAAGACUUUUGAGUAAGGACACACUGAGGUUAGAGAAGGAGCCAGGCAAAGAGCCCACGCUCAACAGAGGACGGGGAAGGAGAAACAGUCACCUCUUCAAAUGUGGAAAGGCACAAUGGCACUUAAGAACUCGGGGCUUCAGGGCUGGAGAGAUGGUUCAAUAGGUAAGGGCGGUGCUUCCUGCCUUGGUAGAGGACUGGAGCUGGGCUCUCACCUCUCAUGUUAGGGGCUCACCUGUAACUCCAGCUCCAAGAACAUCCAAUGCCCCCUGCUGGCCUCUGCAGGCACCUGCAUUCUGCAUUCUUACAUACAUGGACGGACACACACACACACACACACACACACACACACACACACACACACACACACACACACACACACCUUUAAAAAGAAAAAACACGGGGCUGGAGAGAUGGCUCAGUGGUUAAGAGCACUGGCUGUUCUUCCGGAGGUCCUGAGUCCAAUUCCCAGCAACCACAUGAGAGCUCACAACCAUCUGUAAUGAGAUCUGGCGCCCUCUUCUGGCCUGCAGGCAUAUAUGCAGGCAGAAUACUGCAUAUAUAAUAAAUCUUAAAAAUAAAUAAAUAAAUAAAAUAAAAAGAAAAAACACAAGGGGCUGGAGAGAUGGCUCAGCUGUUAAGAGAACUGGCUGCCUUCCAGCGCACCCAGGUUCAAUUCCCAGAAUCCACAUGGUGACUGACAACCAUCCUUAACUCCAAUCCCAGGGGAUCUGUCACCCUCUUCUGGCCUCUGAGGACACUGCACAUAUGUGGUGCACAGACAUGCACGCAAGCAACAAACCACUGACACACAUAAAAUGUAAAUAAGACCUCAAAGAAAAAAAAAUUUAAUGUGGGGUCACUGGGGAUACAGCUCAGUAGUAAAGCUCCGCCCAGAAUGUGUGAGGUGCUGGGUUCAGUUCCCAGCACCCUCACACACACACAACUGUGAACUCAGGUGAGUCAGGUGAUCCAAAAGGCUCAGGAGGAGCUUGGGGAAAGCAGAACAUCUCCCCAUCUCUCACUCUCCACACCCCAAUCUUCUACAAGGGACAGUACUCUAAGAUAUACCAGCACAGGGUCAGUGAAGAUUAGAUAGUUAUAGUUAUAGUUUUCCUUGUUAAGAUUUCAGAAAAGAAACUCACCAAAGAGGUGUAAAGUGUAUAAAUUUAAAAGACAUUAUAAGAUAGUUUUCUGUUAGUAAUACAUGUUAGGAUAGAAAGUGAUUCAGGUACAUUUUGGACUUAACAAAAUAGGAUAGAUAAUGGAAUAUUUUCUCUGAGUUUGUCAAAUGCAAAUGGACUAGACAUUGUUGAUAUAUUUAUUGCUUGUAUAUGUGGUAUAUAGUUAUUGUACUUUUGGAUAUAGUUUUUCUUAUAUUAGUUAUAACUUUUUUAUUCUUUUUUAUUUUUAUUAGAAAAAAGGGGGGAAUGUGGUGAUAUUUUAUUUGUAUGUUAAUAAAUAAAGUUUGCCUGGAGAUCAGAGGUCAUAGCUAGCCAUAAACAGAAGUCAGGCAGUGGUAGCACAUGCCUUAAUCCGAUCACAUGGCAGGCAGAGUCUCUGUGUGUUCAAGGACACAGCCAAGCGUGGUGACACACGCCUUUAAUCCCAGUGCCAACCAUAGAGACCUGGAGGUCUGUACAGACAGGCAGUGAUGAGGAAGUGAGGUGGCUGGGCUAAGAGCCAAUGAGAAGGCAGAACAGGAAGGCAAUGAAGGCACAGGUUAGACAGGAAGAGGCUCUCUUGGGAAGCCUAAAGUAGCCCUCACUUGCCCAUGCCCACCUGGACCCACACCCACCCUUACCUGCACCCACCUUUGUGCCCUUAAAUCUAGAUUGGAUGCUUUCUGAGCUUUCUUUUAGAAAUGGUGUGGGACUACUUACCUGCUGGCAUACAGAUGUCUUGUGGUACUACUUAGAUUAAUAGCAUUAAUUAAUAAUUAAUUAAUUAAGGACAGGUUCGCUGAAUUUCCCUUGUAAUCCUACAGUUAAGCCCUAUAUAUUAAAUGCUCAGAAAUAUUUACUCACAAUAAAUCACAUAUUCAGUGUCCACAGUGUGCCAGACAUGCUCACUGUGUAGCAUAGAGCUCAGAGAAUCAUCAUGGGCUUUGGCUCUUACUUAUUGUGUUAUAUCUUCUUUUCUAGCUCUGCUAUUUGGAAAAGUUACUUGAACUCUCUAAGCUUUAAUUUCCCCAUUUGUAAAACCAAGAUGAUAAUGUCUACUUACUAGGAAUAUUUACUGAGUGCUUAGAGUGAACUAGGCACCAUCUAGUUCCCAUUUGACAGAGGAAGAAAUCGAGACACAAGAGAGCAAGUCAAAGGAUGCACAGAUAGACAGAAUGGAUGGAGCUAGGUCACGGGCAGUCUGGCCCCAUAGCUCCACGUGUAAUGCUGUGCUUUACUCCCUCAUAGCUGAAGUAAUGGUCUGAACAGAGACAUAUAAGGGGGCUGGAGAGAUGCCUCUGUGCUUCACAGCACUUGUUCUUGCAGAGGACCAGCAUACAGUUCCUAGAACCCACAUGGAGCUCACAAUCACCUGUAACUCCAGUUCCAGAUGAUCUGAUGCCCUCUUUUGGUCCCUGUGGGUACUGCACACGUGUAUAUAAGCAUACAUGUAGGCAAAAGCACUUGUACACAUACGAUUUUUUUAAAAUAUCUAAAUCACUGCUGCUAGAUGACCAAAUGCAAGGACAGUGAAUGACAAAUGAGUGCCCCGGCCAGCGGGGUCUUCAAUGGGGUCCUAAAGGGAGGGCCGGUGAAUGAGAGGGACAAGAGACACAAAGAAUGAGAGCAAGACAGGACGUCUAAUCAAGCUCCAAAAUUUUAUUUUUCUCUCAAGGCAUAUAUAGGUAGGCAAAGGGGGUUGCGAGCAGGAAGGGACUUAACUAUGGGGGUUGCAAACAGGAAGGGACUUAAUUAUGGGGGUUGCAAGCAGGAAGGAACUUAGUAAUGGGGGUUGCAAGCAGGAAGGGACUUAAUUAUGGGCUGUUCGGCCAGCAGGAAAUGUUGCUCUGAAGGUUAUCUAUCUACCCUUGUCUAACUGCCUAAUUGCUUAACUGCAGCUCAUUCACCUGAUAUCUGAGAAGAGGUUCUGGUAUCUGUGAGAAGAGGUUCUGGUGCUAUGGAGACUUAAGCAAGGCCUAGAUCUAAGAAAAGAGGAGAGAAGCCCAAAUAUGGCGGCCUGUAUGUCAAGGGUCACUUAGGCUUAUGGCUCCCGUCAAAUGAGAUUCUUUAUUGCUGGUGCUUGCUUGACUCUUCCAUAAGCAUAUUGGGACACACAAGCUACCUGUUUCUCAUCCCCUGGGAUCAACUAAGAGAGUAGACAAAAUUCUUUAUCGUUUUUUCUAUGUGUAUGUGCACUAUUUGCAUGCCUGGUACCCUCAGAGGCCAGAAGAAGGUGUCAGAUCCCCUGGGACUGGAGCUGAAGGCAGUUGUGAGCCACCAUGUGGGUGCUGGGAAUCAAACUCAGGUUCUCUUGAAGAACAACCAGUGCUCUUAACCACUGAGCCAUCUCUCCAGCCCAAGAACACUCUUUUUUUUAAAAAAAAAAAUCUAUUUUUAUUUUAUGUGCAUUGGUGUUUUGCCUGCAUGUAUGUCUGUGUGAGGGUGUCAGAAGCCCUGGAACUAGAGUUAAAGGCCGGUGUGAGCUGCCAUGUGGGUGCUAGGAAUUGAACCUGGGUCCUCUGGAAGAGCAGCUAAUGCUCUUAAUUGCUGAGCCAUCUCUCCAGCCCCCAACAAAGUAUUUUUUUUAAAACAGGGUCUCCCUAUUGGGCCCAGGCUGUUCUCCUGCCUCACCCUCCUAAAUGCUGGAAUUUCAGGGAUGUAUCACCAUGCCCAGCUGGAAAGAAUUAUUUAAAAAGCAAACUGAAGCUGGGCAUGGUGACACACGGAUCCCAGCAGUUCAGAGAUGGAAGUGGGUGGAUUAGACGUUAUGGUCAAAGCUAUACUCUACAUAGUCAGUUCAAGAACUGGCCAGUCAGAACUAUACGAGACCCUGUCUUUAAAAAAAAAAAAAAGAAAGAAAAGGUGUGUGGUGUGAUGUAUACUCACAAUCCUAGUACUCGGGAAGCUGGGGCACGUGAGGUCUUUCUGGCUAUCCAGAGAGACCCUCUUAGAACCAAAGCGGAAGAGGGAGCUGGAGGAAAGGGAGGAAGACAGGGCUGGUGCAGGUACUCUUGCAGAGGACCCAGGUUUGGUUCCCAGCACCCACAUGGCAGUUGACAAUCACCUGUAACUCCAGUCCCAGGGGAUCUGAUGCCCUCUUCACCUGUAACUCCAGUCCCAGGGGAUCUGAUGCCCUCUUCACCUGUAACUCCAGUCCCAGGGGAUCUGAUGCCCUCUUCACCUGUAACUCCAGUCCCAGGGGAUCUGAUGCCCUCUUCUGACCUCAGUCACCAGGUAUGCACCCGGUGCGUAUACAGACAUGCAGGCCAAACACUCAUACAAAUCAAAAAAUUCAAUAAAUCUGAAAAAAACAAAAACAAGUGGUGCCUUCGGCACAGAAAAAUCCUGGUUUCUUCUAAGUCAUUGUGUGGCUAGGCACUGUGUGGACUAAUGACAGCCUUAGUGUUUAAUCACUUGCAGUCUAAUUAGGGAAAGAAGCAAGCAAGGUCUGGAUUAUAACGCAAAACAGUGUUACUAUGUUCUACAACAGGAUGGUCCAGAUGGUUUGCAUGAACUGGGUGGGUUCCAGAGGGACACAGCACAGGUUUGAGGAUUCUGGGAGGACCUCAAAGAAGAAAACUCAGGCCAGGCAUAGUGGCCCACCCUUUAAUCCCAGCACCCGGGAGACAGAGGCCGGUGGAUCUCUGGGAGUUUGAGGCCAGCCUGGUCUACAGAAUGAGUUUCAGGACAGCUAGGGCUACACAGAGAAACUCUGUUUCAAAAAAAACAAAACCGAAAAAAGAAGAAGAGAAGGAGAAGGAGAAGAAGAAGAAAAGGAGAAAGAGGAGGAAGCAGAAAGAAAAAGAAAAACCAGAAUCUGGCAUGGUGCCACACACCUUUAAUUCCAGCAUUCAGGAGACAGGGGUGGGAAUGUGUAAGUCUGAGAGAGUCCUGAUCUACAUAGGGAGUUCCAGAUUAGUCAGGGCUACACAAUGAGACUCUGUCUCCACAACAAACGAUUCUUUUUAAAUGCCUAAGAAUCAAUGGGUAAGGAGUGAAUCUGAGCUAAGAUUGAUGGGUUUUGACGUGCAGUGAGACAAGGGAACUCGGGAAUGUUCGUUUACGCUUAUGUUUGCCCCGCUGUUUCUCACUGCUGUACAGCUGCUGACUUAGCAUACUUACAACUGUGCACAUAUAAUUUCAUUUCAAAAUUAUAUUUUAAUACUUUGUAUAAAGGAAAAUUUGGCUCAUUAUGGGACUUGUAAUUUAUACUUGUAUUCUUACAUACAAUGAUAAUUUAAAUUGCUUUC